GAUGAACGCUAGCGGCAGGCCUAAUACAUGCAAGUCGGACGGGAACCAUAGAUAGCUUGCUAUCAAUGGUGAGAGUGGCGCACGGGUGCGUAACGCGUGAGCAACCUGUUUUCAUCAGGGGGAUAGCCUCUCGACAGUGAGAAUAACACCGCAUAAUAUCAACAGUUCGCAUGUUCAGUUGAUUAAAUCUAUAUAGGAUGGAGAUGCGCUAGCGUGACUUUAGCUAGUAGGUAGGGUAACGGUUUACCAAGACGCCGACGUCUAGGGGCACUGAGAGGAGAAUCCCUGACACUGGGACAGAGACACGGACCAGACGCGUACGAGAAGUAGCAAUUAGGAAGAUAGGGCAAUGAGCGUGAGCGUGAACCAGCCAGGGCGUGUGCAGGAUGACUGGCCUAUGGAUUGUAAACUGCUGUUGAGCAGGAAUGAAACUGAAUACAAGUAUCUAGCUGAAGGUACUGGAAGAAUAAGGAACGGCUAACUCCGUG
rnacentral:rRNA from 1 species